CCCCCUCAUCGAGCGCCGCUAGGGCAAGACGUUGGAGCUUUGCUCUGCCUUCACCUCAGAACGUAUCUCCUAUACAAUUGUCUCCUUUAACCUCCUUUUAUUCUAUCUGUUUCUCUCUUCUCUAAGUAUAUCUGACCGUCCAUUUUGCAUUUUGAUUCCUUUCGCACCCCUCCCCCACGCUUCGGUUGCCAGCGGGCUGUUGCCCCUUAUGGCAGCAGCCCCCAAAGUAACCUUGAAAUGUUGCUUGGCCUGUGCAGCAAAAAUCCCCACCUUGGACAGGCACGCAAAGUGUCUUCUUUGCUUGGGGGAGGCCCAUAAGGUGGAUACCUGUACAAUUUGUAAGGGCUUCACCAAGCAGGCUCGCCACAGCAGAGAUGUGGGAAAGGGCCCUUCAAGCAAGUUUGGCAGCGGCUGGAGGUAGCCCAAGGUCGGGACCUCAAAAUCGGAUGGAAGGACAGCCCCACUCUGAGUCUGAGCCUGUUGAACAACAAAAUGCCACGGUCGCUACUGCCGAGGUCAGCGCACUGGCGCAUGCAGCUGUACUCGAUCUGUAGCUGCCUCCACUGAAAUUACCCCCGCCUCUGCCGGGCUUACCUCCCGUUAUGGUACAGGGCGAGAAGGUGCGGCUUGCGUCCUCAAAACCAGCCACGAGCUCAAUCAGGGCAAAGCAGACCUGGGCCUGCCCUGCCUACUCAGGCAGAUUGUGUAGGAGGUGGGUUGGACCCCUGCUACCCAGGUUCCCCCUCAUCCUGCUCGAGUGAGACAUCCUGCAAAUCUAAACAUCAUGGGAAACGUUAUCAUUGGUUUUACGACCCAUUGCUCUCUAGUUGGGUCUAUGCCCCAAACUUUGAGACGGACAGGCACCCUUCGCACUGGAUGAUGGCUCCUUACACUGAUGUGGAGCCGGUGAACUAUUUUGGAUUUCCGUCAGGUCCAUUCUACAAGGAAAGGCUAAGGGAUUAUCCAGGCGGAAAGAGGAGAGGACAUAAGCGGUCAUGCUCCCAUUCUAUGUCGGGAUCAGAUUCCUAGAUCAGAUUCUAGCCCUAAGAGGCGUAGCAGGAAACAAGGGAAGAAGCCAAAGAAAGCAAGACCAGCAGACCCUCGAUUUCCUUCGGUCCCAAGCGCUCCACUCGAGGUCCCAUUGCCACCCCCGUUGCCUGUGGAUCCUGAGCUUCCAGCCCCGACCCAGCCUGUGGACCCUAUGCUGCCAGCUCCUAUGGCUCCGCCUGCAGAGCCAGUAGAUCCAACGCUUCCGUCGCCAGCAACGGUGGUGGUGAUUGAUACUCCUGUCGAGGACCUGGGGUUGCAACCGCUGGAUCCACCAGGUACUCCAGAGGUGGAUGGAACAGAGAGUGCAACGGAACAGCCAGAAGCGGAGCAACCGGAGGGUCCCUCCUUGGCGGAACUGAAACGUUACACAGAGCAGCUGCUGCGCAUGGCAUUGGCGACCUCCCUCGGGUUGGAUAUUUCGGAGCUACAUCAGACUGCUCAGGAUUCCAUCUCUGAGCUGACCCAACCGCAGGCUACAGGGAUAGUAGCCCUUCCCCUGAUACGAACCAUUGCCCAGAUAAUUAAAGUAGCCUAGGAGAAACCUGCCUCAGUUGCCUCCACUUCCAAAUGCCUGGAGGGCAUGUCUGAAAUGCAAGAUACACAAUACCUCAACAGACACCCCACACCAAAUUUGGUUGUAGUUGAAUUGGCCCAAUCGAAGUCCAAACUAUGGCGUUUGACAGCUCCUUCAGACAGGGAGGGCUGGAUGCCGUGGGCAAGAGUCUAUACUCUGCGUCCAGCUUACAUUGGUUAUUGGUAGCAAACUCCUGCAAAGGCCUCAAAGAACAUGUGCGGCUCACCGUUCAGCUGCUUCGGUCCCUGGGUCUAGAGGUCAACUUCACGAAUUCCAAACUCUGACCACUGCAACGUGUGGAGUUCCUCAGCACACUGUUGGAUUCCAGAGAGAGCAGUGCAUACCUUGGCCCUCACAGGGUGCUGAGCAUCAGAGAGGCAGCCCUGCGUUUCUGCCAUAAGAGGUGUCACAGGGCCAGGGUGGUGCAGAAGAUACUUGGGCACAUGGCUUCAUCUACGGCUGUUCUGCCACUCGCACGCUUUCACAUGAGGCCUCUACAAAUGUGGUUCCUGGACAAUUUCAAUCCCCACCUUCAUCGCCCCGACAGAGAUGUGGGCCCCGUGGAGCGUACUGGCAUAGGUACGAUGGUGGACGAAGUCCGCACAUCUGACGGGUGUGUGUGUCCCUUUCCAGCGCCCUCCUCCGAGAUUGUCAAUAACAACUAACGCUUCCACAUCUGGAUGGGGAGCGCACUUCGGGAAAUUCACAGUGGCCGACCUUUGGCCUCACCAUCUCAAGUACGAACACAGAAACUACCUGGAGUUAAUGGCCAUCCUCCUAGCACUAAAGGCCUUCCGACACUGGAUCUGGGGACAGUCUGUACUCCUCUUGACAGACAAUACCACAGCCCGCUCAUACCUAAACCGUCAAGGUGGGACGGUCUCUUGCAAGUUAUUGUUUCUGGUGCUUGAGAUCUGGGCGUGGUGUACACGCAGAGGUAUCUGGCCAACAGCGGUGCACAUAGAAGGAGUCUCGAACACCCUGGCGAAUGCCCUCAGCCGACAGACGGAAAACUCUCAUGAGUGGUCUCUAGAGAGGAAUGUGUUGAAAGGCUUGUUCCAUCGCUGGGGGACUCGGAGAGCAACAGGAAGUGCGUCCAGUAUUGCAGCAGUGGUGGGAUGGGCCGACGAUCCCUUGGCGAUGCGUUCCUUCACCACUUGGGAAGAGACUUUGUGUACGCAUUCCCGCCGUUCCCUUUAAUUCCAAGCGUACUUGAGAAACUGAAAAGGGACAGAGCAGAUGCGUUUCAGGUGGCCCCUUGGUGGCCGCGGCAACCCUGGUUCACUUCCCUCUGCAAUUGGCCAACCACACCUUUGUGCACCUGCUGGUAUACCUGGAACUGUUGACAUUGGAGGGGGCCCGCAGGAUCCAUCUGAACAUAGAAUCCCUCCAUCUGACUGCUUGGAGGAUCUGACGCUCCCCUCCAUCUCAGACUCUGUACUUAAAGUCCUGGAAGCAGCACGGAAGCCAUUUGCAUGACGCUGCUAUCCUGUCAAGUGGAAGAUGUUUUCUGAUUUUGUGGUGAAGUCUGGUCUAGCUCCUGAUCGGGUCCCGGUCCAGACUAUCCUGGAAUAUCUUCUGGCUCUGAGAGAGUCUGGACUGGCACAGGCAUCCAUCAGGGUGCAUUUGGCCGCUAUUGCUUCCUACCACAGUUAUUUGGGUCUGUUUGUUGACUGGUGGUUAAGAUGUUUUUGAAAGGUUUUUAAAUUUGUUCCCAACUCAUCCACGUUUGUUGCCCAUAUGGGACCUUCAACUAGUUCUUUCACAGUUAAUGUCGGCACCUUUCGAACCCAUGGCGACUUGUUCUUUGAAGCUCCUGUCAUUGAAGUGUCGGAGUUCCAUCUGGCGCAAGAACUAAGGCUGCCCGUUUUCUUCCCUGAUCCACGCUCGGAGAAAGAAAGGACCUACAACUCUUUGGAGGUUCGGAGGGCUCUUGCCUUCUAUGUAGAUUGGACAAGACCCUUCAGAAGGACAGAGAGACUCUUUGUCAGCUUUUCAGGCUCAUCUAUGGGCAUGCCUAUAUCAACGCAGUGAGUUUCAUCCUGGGUAGCAGAGACUGUAUGUCUAGCCUACCAGCUGGUUAAGAAGCCAUUGCCGGGCCCUAUUCGGGCCCAUUCCAUGAGGGCAGUGGCGUCAUCAGAGGCCUUUUGGCGGGGAAUUGCAUUGGAGGAGAUUUGCAGGGCAGCUAGCUGGGCUAACCCGUCGACCUUCAUACAACACUAUGCGCUGGAUGUCCGUUCCAGAGAUCAGGCAUGCUUGGGGACGGCAGUACUUCACUCAGUCUCUCAUUAGGCUGCUUCCACCAGCCAGGUAAGUUAGCUCGCUAUGAUUUCAAGUGUGAUGCACAGAGACCACGAAGAAGUAGGGCAGGUUUCCUACUUGUAACCGUAGUUCUUUGAGUGGUCCUCUGUGCAUUCACACUCCCGCCCUACCUCCCCACAGCAGCUGGUCUCUUUAGUUGAGCGGCGGUCUCCUUGACUGAGCUAGUGUGGGGAUCAACCUACAGAGGGAGUGGGUCUUCCUUCUCUUUUUUCCUUUUGGGGGGGUGAAGCUUUGGAAGGUUCCAGAACGUGGCUCUGCGCAGGCGCAUAACCCAAGUGUGAACGCACAGAAGACCACUUGAAGAACUAUGGUUACAGGUAGGAAACCUGCCCUUCCCUUGAUGCCCCUUUUCAUUCCUCAUUUCAUUCCGCAUUUCAUUCCAGCCCCUUUUCAUUCCUCAUUUGUGUGUUUGUGUGUGUGUGCAUUUCUUUUAGGUGGCAUAUCUGAGCUGAGUAAGGUAAGCAGAGGCAGAGGCGCUUUUACUCCUGGAUUUUGGGGAUGCAGCCCCUGGUGUCCAUACUCAUUGGGGGCUUCCAAAUAAUCUUUAGUCUCUCCUGGGUGGUGUGGUUUGUGCCCUCAAGAACGUAUGUGUUAAAAAAUGUUUAAUUUGCAUUGGGGAUGGGUGGGGGCUCCAAAGGCUUUUAGGUCCAGGCUCCAAAAUUACCUAGGUGCACCUCUGAGCACAGGCGAUCUUGCCAGCAGCUCUUUCUCUUGGGAGGUUGUAAUUUUUAUCCCCCAGUUAAUUAGCAGAGCACUAAAGAAGCUACCCACUCCAGUUACAGUUUAGUUGCAGAGUUUAGUUGUUGCAGCUAUUUAGAGAAGUCACAUGGAGAUUCUUGUAGAAUAAAUACAAAGUAUUUAUUGGUGAAGUACACCUUUGGAUAAGAAAGACCUAACCGUAAUCUAUAGAACAACAUAAUGAAUAGGUGGGGAGAGAGAGAGAUGUUUCCAUCUGCUCUCUAAGAGGAAAAGAAGGGAUGCUUUCUGACUCUCAACAGGAAACACCUGAAGAGUCAUAUCAGGGGUCACAGAGUAGAGACCGAUAGAACAGCUAGGGAGACCCUUACUCACUAUCUCUACUCCCAAUGCCCCUAGUGGUCAUAAGGAUAGUUGGUGCAAAAGGUUGCACUGGUAGUCCGGCUCCCAACACUUUCCAGGGCUAUGCAAUGUAGGCCUCUACAUUCCUCAUUUGUGUGUUUGUUUCUUUUAGUUGGCACAUCUCAGCUGCAUAAGGUGGUGAAUCCCAGCUGGAGAAGGUAAGCAGAGGCAAUUGCCAUCAGGCUGGUUCGAUGGUUUGGUCGCGAACCAGACAGGCCUUCAGGAAAGGUGGUCCAGUCCAAGAUCAAACCAAAUCAGCCCUGACCAGGAGGACAUGGCUCCCAUGUAGCCGUCCUCUGUGAGAAGUGGCUAUAUGCAUGGGAUGGCCAAUGGGGUCAGUGUUGUGAUGCUGCUACUUAUGCAGCACACAUGCUUCCCUCCUCCAACUUUGCAGGCUUUGCGGCUCCCGCCCACCCUCCCUAGUUCAGUGAGAGAUUAGCUGGUCGCUUAUGGGCCGAGUAGGAAUUUUUGGUCUUCACCUGAUUGGCUUUGCGUGGAGAUUUUUUCGCCUACUCCUCACUGACUGUGUUUUAAAGGGAAUAGCCCCCUUUUUAGGGGUGGGAGUCUGGUUGCAGGUUAAGUGGUCACUUUGGCAGGUGAGUGUGGGCUUUGGAGGUUAAGACCUUGAUUGGUGCUCAGCUAUAGGCACCUUUCAGGUAGAGAUGGUUUCAUGUAACAACCUUUCAGGGUUUUGUGGCCCAGGGGUGUCUGAGGUGGCCAGAGCCUAAGGGGUAUACUCAUGGGUCAAAUGAGCCAUAAGCCAGAAUUUGGCUUUUAAAAAGCCAAAUCUGGUCACCUAGCGAAUGAACCACUUUUAGGGCACUGUUCAGCUGACCCACUCAGAGCUUUGGGGCUGGAGGGGUGGUGACCAGUGUUUCCUCUAACAGGGAUUCCCAGAUAUUGACUACAACUCCCAGAAUCCCAAGCUACAAUGGCUUUUGCUUGGGGAUUAUAGGAGUUGUAGUCCACAACAUCUGGGGAUCCAUGUUGGAGGGAACAGUGGUGGUGACCCUGGUGGCUACCUCCUUGACACAGUAAACUGUGUGGCUUGGUGGGGCUAUGCUGAGGUUUCAUAUGGCAUCUGCCAAGCCUGGCUGCUUUGCCCAACAGUGAGAGGAGCUCAGCCCUUGCUAGGAGGCUGUGCCUACCCGAAAAGGGGAUUGGAGUUUCCCACACUCUAGUUUAGGGAGGUUAUAGUUAUACCUGUUGCACAUCUCUGCAUAGUUUAGAGUUAAUAAAGUGGCCCUAGUUUUCAUCCAUA